UACAGGGGGGGCAAGCGUUGUUCGGAAUUACUGGGCGUAAAGGGCGCGUAGGUGGCCUUCUAAGUUGAACGUGAAAUCCCUGGGCUCAACCCAGGAACUGCGUCCAAGACUGGGAGGCUUGAAUCCGGGAGAGGGAUGCGGAAUUCCAGGUGUAGCGGUGAAAUGCGUAGAUAUCUGGAGGAACACCGGUGGCGAAGGCGGCAUCCUGGACCGGUACUGACGCUGAGGUGCGAAAGCGUGGGGAGCAAACAGG
rnacentral:rRNA from 1 species